UCUAACACUUCCUAAGUGUACAUGCAACCCUAAAUACCUUGGAUCUAUGUUUUCUCUAUUAUACAUGCAAAUAAGAACUUCCAAGGUAUUAUCCUAAUCUAGCAUACAAAACAAUGAAUGUAACAAGAUAGAAUACAUACCUCUUGAUGUAGAAAGUCUUCAUGAAGCUUGAGUGCCUAGUGCCCCAAGUGUGACACCUCAAAUGGUUCACACAACACCAAAUACACAUGGAAUGACUUGAGAGAAAAACCCACACUUCAUGAAAUCGGCUAGCCCUUCUAGUACACCCACUAGUACCAAUUUUGGUGAAUAAUAUGAUGCUUAUAUAGUGUGUUACAAUUAGGGUUACACCAUGUAAACCCUAAUUGUCAUGACCUUUCAUUUCCAUGACCCAUGGGUUAUGUAACCUCCAUGGAGCAUCCUAUGGGUUUAACCCAACUUGAUUAUCCAUGGAGCUUUGGCCCACUAUAUAAGUUAUGGAUGAUUUGCACAAUCAACCCAUAUAUUUAAUUAGUCUUCUUUUGAUCACUUAAUUAAUCCUAGAUUAAUUCUUGAUCAAUACUAAUUAAAUACUAUUAUUCUUAUUAUUAAUAUACUAGAACUUAUAAUAUAUUAAUAACCAUAAGUGUCUUAUUUCUCUCAUUUAGUCUAUCCAAGUGCAUGAUGCCAUGCAACCCAAAUGGACCAUGUCGGGUCGGGUCAAGUCUUACCAAUUAUAGUUAUGGACUUAGACAUUAAUCCAACAGUCUCCCACUUGGAUAAGUCUAAAACUAUUAUUGCGUAUGACUUCAGGAACCAACUGGCAAUCGUAGCUCUCAAAAGCUUCUGUCGAACUCUGACCUUGUAGAUGAACUCUGACCUUUGUCAAUGACUUGUCCAUUAGAUAAGGGAUCAUAUAUUCCUCCAUUCUAGAUAUCAUAUGGACUGAGACAUGGAUUAUAAUCAUUCUCUCUGUCCAUUUGUUGUUUCCCGAUUUCCGAUUUAUGACGACUGACUAAUUGAACAAAUCAAAUCAGUCCUGGCCCGGCCGAGCACUUCCAUUUGUCAUCAUCAAAUCAUCGAGGGGCCCACAGAUAUCGCUUUUAUCCCGAAGGUAAAAGGAAUGGAUAAACUUCGACUCAUAUGGCUUGUUCUACUACUUGUUGAAUCAUACACAAAGGCACGUUUUAUAGCACCGAGUUACCAAAUGCGUUUUCGUGCAAUCAAUGUACUAUCAACUCAUAGUAACAACUCAUAUCUCUAGGUUUGAAGAAUAUAAGAUAUUAUCGUCUCAUGAUCACUCGUGAUAAAAUCCAUGAAGUGAUUCCAAUGAGCGCGGGUUGAAUCCAAUACUCAGAACUUAUGAGCACUCAUGAGUGUUGUAGCCCUUUGUCCAACACCUUAGACCUCUACAAGCCAACCCAUGACAGUCUUAAUUCAUAUCUACUUCCAACAUAUGACCGACUGUGGAUGGUUUGAAUAACUUAGUCAUUCCGGAAGAAUAACCCAGUUUAUUCGGGAAGUCAAAACAUGCAAAAUGAAACACAAUAAUAAUUGAAUCCAAUAUGGUAUCAACCCUUUGAACAUAAAUAAAACACCUUUUAUUUAUCACCAUAUGAUUACACAUUAUUCAUUGUAUACUGUUUCAGCUAUCAACUUUAUUCUUGAAUUUAAAACAAUAGUUGUCCCAUGCUCCAAGCAUGUACACUAUGUUUUCUUAAACACUAGUCAUGCCACACACCAAGUAUGCAUACUAUGUUUGUCUAUGAUCUUUACUUUGUGAACUAGAUCAAUUGAACAUAACUUCAAUGAUUCUCUUUUCACACUCCCAAAUCCUUACUGCAAAUGCAAGAAUUCCAAAUUCAUGCCAUUUACUGAAAUCUGUUAGAUUCUAAACUUAUAUGCAUUGAUCCUCUUGUAAUGAUUAUGCACAAAGUCACAAAGACUUGGCAACAAUCAUUACAGAGUAUUCCAAAGGAGAUCAACUCCUUGGAAAUAUCCUUCUUGCAUUAAGUUUCCUUAAUCUUACACAGAUUGAAAAUUCUAACUUUGAAACAUUUCCAGAUUCCAUUUUGACUAUCACUUCUGAACAAGAGUUGCCUCCUUACAGAUUAUGUCAAUAUGGUCCUUCCAGAAUUAUCACUAUACUUCCAAUUGUCCUUGAGUAACCAAUCUUUGGUAAACCUUAGAUUGUCCUCGACAAUUGUUUAAUCCUUUUAGUCAUAUCCAGUUCUAAACCUUUUCCCUUCUUAAUGCCCCAGGCAUUUGGAAAAUUUUAGAACGGAUGAAUAUAGCACAUGUAAUCGAUCCUAUAUCCGAAGCAUAUGGGACACGAUUCAUGAUGUCUUACAUAAAGACUAAACCAGUCUUUUGCUAUAAUAUUUCCAUUUCAAUUUGCCAAGUUCUCAUAAUUCAGAUUAUGAAAAGGGAUGCCGUAAUCAUAAUCGAAUUUUAGAACGCAAAUAAUGGACCCAUAUACAGAAUUUCCUUAUGUUGAGCCAUUCCAACAUGAAAUUCAUAUAUAUCCUUGACUAAAUGAUUAAAACCUCACGAUCUAAGCUUAUAGAUUUGAGAUGAAGCAUAAUUUCCUCUCCCUUAAUUAUAGCAAAACAACUUUUUCCCAAUUGAAACUUUUGUUUUCUAUAAUUAACAUUGCUAACUUGCAAUACUUAUCAUAAUUAUCAUGCUCCCACUAACAUGAUGAUUAUUAGCAUAACACUUAUGCUCCCACUAGCUUUGACAUGUACUCAGAAAUCAGCUGGACAGUCUGAAAUUUAGAUUCAUACACCCUUUCCGUAGAUAGCUCACCUGUGUGUCUAAGCAAUUUCAAGAACCAUGAAAAGGGAUACCGUAAUCAUGGUCUCAAUUGCUUAGGCAUUUGCCAUUUCUCACAAGUCCAUGUUAGUGUGCCGGUUAACCACACGCGCUCCACUAACGACUUUUGAAAAUGCAAAUAACACAAUUGAUAUCUUCGUAAAAUCUACUUAGUGAAAGCGUUUCCUCACCAUCAUUUUCAUGAAUCGGAGAGAAACCUUAUGACACUUAGAUUUAUAUGGUGUAUGAGUUCCUACCCAUAUGAAUUUGUCAAACCAUAAUCACAAGACAAAGAUAAUGACAAAUCCAAAACCAUAUGGAUUGAACUCAAUCUUAACUUCUUGCCACCUGGCAGCUCAAGGGCCUGCCAUUGCUUCCAAGUUGUUAUGCAACAAACUGAGAACUCUAAGAACUCAUAUGCAAAGCCAACUUUAACUGGAAUGGGCACAGAUAUGUCAACACGAUAGGUUAUAAACCUCAAGUCGUGUGCUAGUGAAGAACUUUAGGUUUUAUUCUUGAUUAUUUCUUGAGACUUUCAAGACCUUUAAGACUCCCACUGUCCUCUUGACAUAUAAGACUCCCUUGUCAAACAUCCAAGAGAUAGUGCGGAUUCUAAUCAAGAAAAACACUUUACCCAAUUGGCCUAAGUUGGUCUUUGUUUUAUCCAAAACAUCACAACUUACCAAUUUCAAAUGUACAAGAGUAGAAAACUUUUACUCUUACAUUUGACAAGUGUUUUAAACCUUCUUUAAGACAUGUCACUCAAAUGACAAUCUUGGAGUAUGACUCUAAGACUUGUAUUGGAACGAAGUAUGACUCAUCUUCUUGAUUUAACCAUUUCAACAAUUCAAGUUCCUCUUCUUAGUCAUAAGAAUGCACUAAGAUUUCCUUAGAGAACUAAUUUUGAUAUGGUUUCUUAAUCAUUAAGAUGAUCACAAAACUGAUACUAAAGUACUCUCCCAUCUUUUCAGAUUUGAGAAACUUUUAUCCUUCUGCCUUAUUUGAUUCUUCUUAUCGAUCUUUAGUGGUGGACUUAAUCAGUGCACAAGAAUGUGUACUCGAUCCCUUAGUCCUUUACUUGACUCACACAUCCAUGUGAACAAGUAAUUAGUCUUAAUUUUCCAAAACUUGAAAGUUCUCAUUCAUCAUGCUAUACAACUUGCAUGAUUCCAAGUUCCGGUCCAAUUGAAACUUGGGUGAUGAGAAUCUUUCCUUAUUUGGUAAAUCUAGACAUUACCACAAAUGAAAGAAUCAAUUUCAUAUUUCCACUCUUGCUCUUAAUGGAAUCAUAUAAGCAACAAUUUUUCCUCAAAAGCCAUUGUAAGGAUAUUUUAAAAUAAAUAAAAUCAAAAAAAUUUUCUUUUAUUUUAAAACUUUGCGGAAAAACUUAUCCUUACAAUCCAUAUGAAAACUUGUUGUUAUCUAUUCCUAAGCAAUAUCUCAUAACUCCUAAGAAGUAGCUCAAGAAUCCGAUCUUCAAACUAUGCGAUAGAAAUCCAUCUACGCCAUCAGAUUCAGCAUAUUCUUUCUUUAAGUUUCUUCACUUUUCUUUGAUUCUUAAAACAUCACCAUGUGACCCAGUCACAUCAUGUAUCAAGAAUCUCAGAAUAGAAACUUAACAGAGUUAGAUAGUGGACUUUACCUGAAGUAGAGUCAAACUUAUUGACUUUAACAUCCUUAGGUAAAUUUGGCAGCUUCGCAACCAAUGCCCCUUCCUUUGGCAAUAUAAACAUAUGGACCCUUUGAUAAUGGUACACGGGACUAUCACAGACUUAGCUUUUCUCUUUACCAUUUGGUCAACCGAGUUGACUAUGGCCGAUCCCUUUCCAUUGGGAAGAGAAUGCUUUACUGGAUAUCCAAUGUCAUCAUUGUCAAUGUCCAUAAAGUUUUAGGAAGUUGAUCUUAGCAAAUAGAUAAGAUCAUUAAGGGUCUUGUCAUAGUCUGUUUCAUAGGUGUCCCAAAGGAACUCACUAUGUGACUUAGAAAGUGAUUGAACCACCAACUUUCUCAAGACUUUGACACCCAACUCUCCCGGCUUGUCAAUAUGUGACUACAUCUCCAAGAUGUGACCACACCUAGACCUUGCCUUGCCAAUAGGGCCUGAGUGACCUUAAACUUUUCAAGAACUUGUGGGUUAGGGAGAAUAAUUUGAAGAGGUGAAGAAGUAUGAUAUCCAUGGGACAUCAUCUUCAUUAGGAAACCUUGUUUCAAGAGAUUUGGGAAGAUCAUAGGUGUCUAAACCAGACAUCUUUUGGGAGAUAUUCAAGAUAGUUGAUUUAAAGUCCUUAAUAUGACACCCAAUAUGAAAUAUUAAGGCUAGGACCCAACAAACUAUUUUAUAACUUAGAAGAGGUAUGCCGUAAUCCAAGCUAUAAAAUAUUUGAAGGUAGGUGAAUGACGAUUCACCAAUUUCCACCAAGAUAAACGAAAUGUAUUAUUAGGUUUUAAUUGGUUUUGAAACUCCUAGAUCUUUGAGAUUCAUUGAACUUUUCAAAGGCAUGUUUCAAUCUCGAGUGUGCCCUUCAGGUUUUGUGACUGGGAUGCCGAGGAUCACAAAACAAGGUGUGAAGUAACCAUGCAAAUCACUUGGUACCCUUAAUAAAUUACCCCUCAAUCGAUGUGCCGGUUAACCACACACGCUCCAUCGAUACUAUGAUAAAUAUUAAGUCACCCUUUACCUACCUUGUUAAGUCCAAGUUAGUGUGCCGGUUAACCACACACGCUCCACUAACGACUUAGACAAAGUGUAAAGUGUAAUUUCAUGGAUUAGCACCUUAUUCACAUUUUUCCUAAGUAACUAAGAUUGGGUAUUAUUAAGAGUUUAGUUACUUAGUAUUAUCAUUAAUACUUUUAAUGAAGGGAGAAUUCUAGUCCUGUCAAACCCGUUCGGCUAACGACCCUCCACCAGUCAAGCAAGCGGUGGGUGAGAGUGGACACCCAUUAAGUUGCCAUUUUAUAGGCAACAACCUUAUACCCACCUUAUAGACCGGCUUCGUGAAUGAGGCGUACUAGCGGUAAGACUGACUUUACUCUUAUACAUAUAUAUAUUAUUAACUUAUAAUAUUAUAAAGUAUAAGGGUUGAAUUUUAACUUUUAAAAUUCUAAGGGCUAACUUGGAAUUAAAGUAUUCAUACUUGAAAACUUUUCAAAUUCCAAAACUUGAGGGCAAGUUUUGAAACUAUUCAAAACUAAUUAAUUCCAUAACUUAUGUGUUUAAAGUAGUUUUAAUCCAAAAACUCUUCAAGUUCCAUAACUUGAGGACAAGUUAUGGAAGACUUUAAACUAAUAAAAGAACUAACUUUUUCUUUAUUUUAUAACUUAUGGAUUUAAUUAUGGUUACAUAUUUUUCUUUAAUGAAGUGACUCUUGAACUUCCAUAACUUGAGGACAAGUUAUGGAGUCAAAAAAAAUUAUUCAAUGACACAAGACUCUUCAUUUUGUAACCAUUGCCAACUCUUAUGAAUUUUAUGAGUCUUUAAUGUGACUCUUCAUGUAACUUGAGGACAAGUUACACAAACACAUUUUAUACUCAACUCUUAGAUUAAAAUGGAUUGAAAACAACUAUUUCACUCAACAUUUCUAUUAAUCUAAGCAACUCAUAAGAACAAGAUAAUUCAAAUCAAACUUUUUCAUGUAAUUAGUCUAAACCUUAAACUAAUACAAAACAUGAAUCUAUUGACAAUUAUCUUUGAAAAUGGAUUAGCAUGAACAUUACCACAUCAAAAACAAGUUUAUAAGUUCAAAAACAACUUAGGGUAAUGUUCCUAGUCCAUUUCUAGCCAAAAAACUCGAAAAUAUGCUGUCUGGGGGUCCAACUCGUCGAGUGCAUGAACAAACUCGGCGAGUUGGAUCGAAUUCAUCACUUUUUAGGCAUGGACUCGUCGAGUCUCCUGAUGGACUCGCCGAGUCUGAUGGCCAGACAGCACCAGAUUCGUUUUUUCAGCUUCUAUUGCAGGUAUAACAAGAAAACAAGCCUAGGCUCUGAUACCACUGUUGGGUUUUGAGCAUUCUAACACUCCUAAGUGUACAUGCAACCCUAAAUACCUUGGAUCUAUGUUUUCUCUAUUUUACAUGCAAAUAAGAACUUCCAAGGUAUUAUCCUAAUCUAGCAUACAAAACAAUGAAUGUAACAAGAUAGAAUACAUACCUCUUGAUGUAGAAAGUCUUCAUGAAGCUUGAGUGCCUAGUGCCCCAAGUCUGACACCUAAAAUGGUUCACACAACACCAAAUACACAUGGAAUGACUUGAGAGAAAACCCACACUUCAUGAAAUCGGCUAGCCCUUCUAGUACACCCACUAGUGCCGAUUUUGGUGAAUAAUAUGAUGCUUAUAUAGUAUGUUACAAUUAGAGUUACACCAUGUAAACCCUAAUUGUCAUGACCUUUCAUUUCCAUGACCCAUGGGUUAUGUAACCUCCAUGGAGCAUCCAUGGACCAUCCUAUGGGUUUAACCCAACUUGAUUAUCCAUGGAGCUUUGGCCCACUAUAUAAGUUAUGGAUGAUUUGCACAAUCAAC
rnacentral:lncRNA from 1 species